GCUUAACCGGAGAAGUGCAUCGGAAACUGGGAGACUUGAGUGCAGGAGAGGACAGUGGAACUCCAUGUGUAGCGGUGGAAUGCGUAGAUAUAUGGAAGAACACCAGUGGCGAAGGCGGCUGUCUAGUCUGUAACUGACGCUGAGGCUCGAAAGCAUGGGUAGCGAACAGGAUUAGAUACCCUGGUAGUCCAUGCUGUAAACGAUGAGUGCUAAGUGUUGGAGGGUUUCCGCCCUUCAGUGCUGCAGCUAACGCAUUAAGCACUCCGCCUGGGGAGUACGACCGCAAGGUUGAAACUCAAAGGAAUUGACGGGGGCCCGCACAGGCGGUGUAGCAUGUGGUUUAAUUCGAAGCUACGCGAAGAACCUUACCAGGUCUUGACAUCUUCUGCCAAUCUUAGAGAUAAGACGUUCCCUUCGGGGACAGAAUGACAGGUGGUGCAUGGUUGUCGUCAGCUCGUGUCGUGAGAUGUUGGGUUAAGUCCCGCAACGAGCGCAACCCUUAUUAUCAGUUGCCAGCAUUCAGUUGGGCACUCUGGUGAGACUGCCGGUGACAAACCGGAGGAAGGUGGGGAUGACGUCAAAUCAUCAUGCCCCUUAUGACCUGGGCUACACACGUGCUACAAUGGACGGUACAACG
rnacentral:rRNA from 1 species